UGGGGAAUAUUGCACAAUGGGCGCAAGCCUGAUGCAGCCAUGCCGCGUGUAUGAAGAAGGCCUUCGGGUUGUAAAGUACUUUCAGCGGGGAGGAAGGGAGUAAAGUUAAAACCUUUGCUCAUUGACGUUACCCGCAGAAGAAGCACCGGCUAACUCCGUGCCAGCAGCCGCGGUAAUACGGAGGGUGCAAGCGUUAAUCGGAAUUACUGGGCGUAAAGCGCACGCAGGCGGUUUGUUAAGUCAGAUGUGAAAUCCCCGGGCUCAACCUGGGAACUGCAUCUGAUACUGGCAAGCUUGAGUCUCGUAGAGGGGGGUAGAAUUCCAGGUGUAGCGGUGAAAUGCGUAGAGAUCUGGAGGAAUACCGGUGGCGAAGGCGGCCCCCUGGACGAAGACUGACGCUCAGGUGCGAAAGCGUGGGGAGCAAACAGG
rnacentral:rRNA from 1 species